UCCCUCCCAUAGGUGAAAAUUUAGGGCAUAAUGAAUUAAGUAAAAAACCCUUAUCUAUCGAAGUUUAGGAAUUGCGGUCGCCUCUGCCCAACUUUCUCUCUCUCACCAUCACCGGCAACCAUUUCAGGUAAACCAAUAUUUCAUUGGGAUUUCAAGUAGUUCAAAUUUAUGGUUUUGUUAAGAAGAUUAUUCUUAGCCUCUUUUGCAUAGCACGACACAUUUGGCCUUCUAGUCAGGUUGGAUUGAUAAUUCUUUCAGGUUUUAAUUACAUCUUAUUUUUAAGUUUGCACUUUGAUUUGUGUAUUAUGGGCCAUUAUUCUUAUCUAGGAUGAGAUGGAAAGAGCUGGCGAAUUGUUCAUUUGAACAUUCAGUUGAGGUGACAUUCAUUGACUAAUACGCAAAAUGUGUGCUCUUGCAUGUCAUAUUCUUAAUAUACUGUUGCUAAAAUAGUCCUGCGCUGAUUUAAUGAAUAUAUUAAGUAUAAAUGUGAAUUUUCAGCCAAGGAAAUGGUCCUAGAUUACUUUUUGAAUUUGAUAGUGAUUGUUAUUUAGCUCUCUUGCCUGACAGAGAAAGAGACAUAAAGCUGUGGAAGAAGAUAAAUUUUUUUUCCAUAAAACAACACCUACGAGGUAUUUCUUCUUCAUAUUCUUUGUACGUCAUAUAUGUGGUUUUUUCUUCAUGUGGUGCUCUUUUGGUUAAAUACUUGUGUGUAUCUUUAUUUCUCCUCAAUAAUUUGAUCAUUUGCCCUGUAUCAACUCUUGAUUUCGAGUUCAAUUUGUAUAUACAAGGGAAGCCUUUCCUUAGAGUGCAAGAAUAGUGUUGUAUAACUAGUUAUAGGAUUCAAGUUCUUUUUUUCUUUAAUGCUGUUGUCCCUCUUAAAUUUUUUAGAAAGAACUGAGGUUAAUAUUGUUAAGUAGCAAUUUAUUCUACUUCUCAGAAUUAUUAGCAUUCUUAAUUUACUGAAAGAAUAUUUAUUUCUUUAGGAUCAACUUGUAAAUUCUGCUUUUUCUGGGAAGUUCAGUCUCUGAAGUCUUGUGCUUGGUGUUUCUCUAAUAUAGCUUGAUAAUCAAAUCUAUGUUUUGGAUAGUCUAAUAUUUUUUGUCAGGUUAACAUAAUCAAGAAUUGCAAACAGUGGAGCUAGCAUGGAGAAAAAGAAGAGGCAUUUUUGGUGGAUGUGAGAUCAAUUAGUAGCAAGGGAGUGCUCGACUUUUGGAAAGAUGGAUCCAUAGAGCUUUAUUGCAUAAUUUAUUCUGGAAGUUAAAGGGAAUUAGCUCAAAAUAGCAGUGAUCUUAACAUAGGUGUACGAUGGAUUCUGUCUUUUAUGAUUUAAUUAGUUUUAAGAUUUGUCUUUUUUGAUUUAGUUAGUAAUGGAGAGAUGAUUUAAUUUGAUGCCAUCAAAAUUGUAAGGAGUACGCUUAUUCGAUCAUCACUUUGUUCUUUUGCUACAAUAAUAAGAGUUAUUUUCUUUAGAUA